rnacentral:rRNA from 1 species
UACGUAGGGGGCAAGCGUUGUCCGGAAUUAUUGGGCGUAAAGAGCGUGUAGGCGGUUCGGUAAGUCGGCUGUGAAAGUCCAGGGCUCAACCCUGGGAUGCCGGUCGAUACUGCCGGACUAGAGUUCGGAAGAGGCGAGUGGAAUUCCCGGUGUAGCGGUGAAAUGCGCAGAUAUCGGGAGGAACACCUAUGGCGAAGGCAGCUCGCUGGGACGUUACUGACGCUGGAGACGCGAAAGCGUGGGGAGCAAACAGG